CCCUUAGAUGUUCUGGGCCGCACGCGCGCUACAAUGAUGAAUUCAACGAGUUUAUAACCUUGGUUGAAAAGCCUGGGUAAUCUUUUGAACUUUCGUCGUGAUGGGGCUAGACCCUUGCAAUUAUUGGUCUCCAACGAGGAAUUCCUAGUAAACGCAAGUCAUCAGCUUGCAUUGAUUACGUCCCUGCCCUUUGUACACACCGCCCGUCGCACCUACCGAUUGAAUGGUCCGGUGAAAUCUUCGGAUUGAGACUUUGAUUUCUUCACGGAAGACGCUGUUUUAAAAAGUUGAUUAAACCUUACCAUUUAGAGGAAGGUGAAGUCGUAACA
rnacentral:rRNA from 1 species